AGAGUUUGAUCCUGGCUCAGAAUGAACGCUGGCGGCGUGCUUAACACAUGCAAGUCGUACGAGAACACUCUAGCUUGCUAGGGUAAGUAAAGUGGCGCACGGGUGAGUAACGCGUGGGUAAUCUACCUUCGAAUUGGGGAUAACGUUGCGAAAGCGACGCUAAUACCGAAUAACAUCCAUUAAUCUUCGGGUUUUUGGAUCAAGGGUGGCCUCUACAUGUAAGCUACUGUUUGAAGAUGAGCCCGCGUACCAUUAGCUUGUUGGUGGGGUAAAGGCCUACCAAGGCUUCGAUGGUUAGCUGGUCUGAGAGGAUGAUCAGCCACACUGGAACUGACACACGGUCCAGACUCCUACGGGAGGCAGCAGUGAGGAAUUUUGCGCAAUGGGGGAAACCCUGACGCAGCAACGCCGCGUGAGUGAUGAAGGCUUUCGGGUCGUAAAGCUCUGUCAAGUGGGAAGAACCUGCAGUAUGCUAAUAUCAUAUUGCACUGACGGUACCACUGAAGGUAGCACCGGCUAACUCCGUGCCAGCAGCCGCGGUAAUACGGGGGGUGCAAGCGUUAUUCGGAAUCAUUGGGCGUAAAGAGCACGUAGGCGGCUUGGCAAGUCAGAUGUGAAAGCCCGGGGCUUAACCCCGGAAGUGCAUUUGAUACUGUCAGGCUUGAGUAUGGGAGAGGGAAGUGGAAUUCCUGGUGUAGAGGUGAAAUUCAUAGAUAUUGGGAAGAACACCGGUGGCGAAGGCGGCUUUCUGGCUCGAUACUGACGCUGAGACGCGAAAGCGAGGGGAGCAAACAGGAUUAGAUACCCUGGUAGUCCACGCCGUAAACGAUGUGCACUAGGUGUUGGAGGUAAUUAAACUUUCAGUGCCGCAGCUAACGCAUUAAGUGCACCGCCUGGGGAUUACGGCCGCAAGGCUAAAACUCAAAGGAAUUGACGGGGGCCCGCACAAGCGGUGGAGUAUGUGGUUUAAUUCGACGCAACGCGCAAAACCUUACCUGGGUUUGACAUCCCGAUCGCAUCCUUUGGAAACAUUGGAGUCAGCUAGGCUGGAUCGGUGACAGGUGCUGCAUGGCUGUCGUUGGCUCGUGUCGUGAGAUGUUGGGUUAAGUCCCGCAACGAGCGCAACCCCUACCACUAGUUGCCAUCAUUUAGUUGGGCACUCUAUUGGAACUGCCGGUGUCAAGCCGGAGGAAGGUGGGGAUGACGUCAAGUCCUCAUGGCCCUUAUACCCAGGGCUACACACGUACUACAAUGGCCGGUACAAAGGGCAGCGAACUCGCGAGAGUAAGCAAAUCCCAAAAAGUCGGUCCCAGUUCGGAUAGGAGUCUGCAACUCGACUCCUUGAAGUCGGAAUCGCUAGUAAACGCGAAUCAGCAUGUCGCGUUGAAUACGUUCUCGGGCCUUGUACACACCGCCCGUCACACCACGAAAGUCAGUGAUACUAGAUGUCGUUGGGUUAACCCUUCGGGGAGACAGACGCCGACGGUAUAACUGGUAAUUGGGGUGAAGUCGUAACAAGGUA
rnacentral:rRNA from 1 species